AGUGAACGCUGGCGGUAGGCCUAACACAUGCAAGUCGAACGGCAGCACAGUAAGAGCUUGCUCUUACGGGUGGCGAGUGGCGGACGGGUGAGGAAUACAUCGGAAUCUACUUUUUCGGGGGGGAUAACGUAGGGAAACUUACGCUAAUACCGCAUACGACCUACGGGUGAAAGCAGGGGAGCUUCGGACCUUGCGCGAUUGAAUGAGCCGAUGUCGGAUUAGCUAGUUGGCGGGGUAAAGGCCCACCAAGGCGACGAUCCGUAGCUGGUCUGAGAGGAUGAUCAGCCACACUGGAACUGAGACACGGUCCAGACUCCUACGGGAGGCAGCAGUAGGGAAUCUUGGACAAUGGGCGCAAGCCUGAUCCAGCCAUACCGCGUGGGUGAAGAAGGCCUUCGGGUUGUAAAGCCCUUUUGUUGGGAAAGAACAGCAGCAGGUUAAUCCCCCGCUGUUCUGACGGUACCCAAAGAAUAAGCCCCGGCUAACUUCGUG
rnacentral:rRNA from 1 species